CCUACGGGUGGCUGCAGUGGGGAAUAUUGGACAAUGGGGGCAACCCUGAUCCAGCCAUGCCGCGUGUGUGAAGAAGGCCCUCGGGUUGUAAAGCACUUUCAGUGAGGAAGAACGCCUGGUGGUUAAUACCCAUCAGGAAAGACAUCACUCACAGAAGAAGCACCGGCUAACUCCGUGCCAGCAGCCGCGGUAAUACGGAGGGUGCGAGCGUUAAUCGGAAUUACUGGGUGUAAAGCGCGCGUAGGUGGCUUGAUAAGCCGGUUGUGAAAGCCCCGGGCUCAACCUGGGAACGGCAUCCGGAACUGUCAAGCUAGAGUGCAGGAGAGGAAGGUAGAAUUCCCGGUGUAGCGGUGAAAUGCGUAGAGAUCGGGAGGAAUACCAGUGGCGAAGGCGGCCUUCUGGACUGACACUGACACUGAGGUGCGAAAGCGUGGGUAGCAAACAGGAUUAGAUACCCCGGUAGUC
rnacentral:rRNA from 1 species